ACACAUGCAAGUCGAACGAUGAACCACUUCGGUGGGGAUUAGUGGCGAACGGGUGAGUAACACGUGGGCAAUCUGCCCUUCACUCUGGGACAAGCCCUGGAAACGGGGUCUAAUACCGGAUACGACACUCUCGGGCAUCCGAUGAGUGUGGAAAGCUCCGGCGGUGAAGGAUGAGCCCGCGGCCUAUCAGCUUGUUGGUGAGGUAACGGCUCACCAAGGCGACGACGGGUAGCCGGCCUGAGAGGGCGACCGGCCACACUGGGACUGAGACACGGCCCAGACUCCUACGGGAGGCAGCAGUGGGGAAUAUUGCACAAUGGGCGAAAGCCUGAUGCAGCGACGCCGCGUGAGGGAUGACGGCCUUCGGGUUGUAAACCUCUUUCAGCAGGGAAGAAGCGAAAGUGACGGUACCUGCAGAAGAAGCGCCGGCUAACUACGUGCCAGCAGCCGCGGUAAUACGUAGGGCGCGAGCGUUGUCCGGAAAUUAUUGGGCGUAAAGAGCUCGUAGGCGGUCUGUCGCGUCGGAUGUGAAAGCCCGGGGCUUAACCCCGGGUCUGCAUUCGAUACGGGCAGACUAGAGUGUGGUAGGGGAGAUCGGAAUUCCUGGUGUAGCGGUGAAAUGCGCAGAUAUCAGGAGGAACACCGGUGGCGAAGGCGGAUCUCUGGGCCAUUACUGACGCUGAGGAGCGAAAGCGUGGGGAGCGAACAGGAUUAGAUACCCUGGUAGUCCACGCCGUAAACGGUGGGAACUAGGUGUUGGCGACAUUCCACGUCGUCGGUGCCGCAGCUAACGCAUUAAGUUCCCCGCCUGGGGAGUACGGCCGCAAGGCUAAAACUCAAAGGAAUUGACGGGGGCCCGCUCUAGCAGCGGAGCAUGUGGCUUUAUUUCGACGCCACGCGAAUAACCUUUCCUAGGCUUGACAUACACCUGGAAACGGCCAGAGAUGGUCGCCCCCUUGUGGUCGGUGUACAGGUGGUGCAUGGCUGUCGUCAGCUCGUGUCGUGAGAUGUUGGGUUAAGUCCCGCAACGAGCGCAACCCUUGUUCUGUGUUGCCAGCAUGCCCUUCGGGGUGAUGGGGACUCACAGGAGACUGCCGGGGUCAACUCGGAGGAAGGUGGGGACGACGUCAAGUCAUCAUGCCCCUUAUGUCUUGGGCUGCACACGUGCUACAAUGGCAGGUACAAUGAGCUGCGAAGCCGUGAGGCGGAGCGAAUCUCAAAAAGCCUGUCUCAGUUCGGAUUGGGGUCUGCAACUCGACCCCAUGAAGUCGGAGUUGCUAGUAAUCGCAGAUCAGCAUUGCUGCGGUGAAUACGUUCCCGGGCCUUGUACACACCGCCCGUCACGUCACGAAAGUCGGUAACACCCGAAGCCGGUGGCCCAACCCGUAAGGGAGGGAGCUGUCGAAGGUGGGACUGGCGAUUGGGACGAAGUCGUAACAAG
rnacentral:rRNA from 1 species